GUGGCGGUGCCGUUUGAGUGAAGAGUUUUACUCUCAUUCACAGUGAAGGGGAAAUCGGAAGGAGGACGAUCACCGACCAGCCAGAUGAUCUGAGGCAUUGGCCUGCCUCCAACAGCAGAGCACGACACCAACUGGUAGUUUUUACCUCAGGCUUUCUUUACCUUGCUGAGUUCCGACUUCGUUCCAGAGUUUCUCUGAGCAUCUGGAUUAUCAACUACUGAGUUAAGGACCCAUCUUCCUGUGGAUUUCUCUCUCUACCGUCUGUACCUUUCGGACACGGACCAAGCUGGCGGCUUCCCGUUUCCUCCAACUCCAGGACCCAAGCAUCAGCAUACCCUGUCCCUUCCUCCAUCUCAAAUAUCGGCACCUGAGCUCCAUUUGGCUGGCACCAAGAUCACAACAAAAAAGACAACUGAACGAUCUUCCUUCACAAGUUAAGACUCAGAAUCUCUCUACCCCUGGUGGUUCAAGCUACAACAAUUUAAGCCAUUUCUCAGAUCUAAGUAAUUAGUUACUUCAUUUAUUCAUUUGUUCACCAGUCCAUUCUUCUUCCUUCCCGUACAGUUGGUGUUUCCAGUCCUCAUCCCAGAUUACUUUGCUGACAAUAAAAUCCAUAAAACUUUCUCUUCUGAGUGUUCUCUGUAUGUGGGUCAGAUCUAUAUCGAAAAUGACAGCCUCAGCUAGCAGGGCGCCUUGGGAAGGGUGUAAACCCAUGUAUUGUUCAUACCAUCCUGUCCCAUUUGGGGCACCUCAGAUAUGGCCAGUCUGACAACAAAGACGCCACGCUUUUGCUUAUGUCCCAUAUGUUGGAAAUUCAAGGACACCUGGUCCUUGUUUUAUGACAUGUUUCUCUAAUUCACGCUGGUGCUGUUUCUCUUUCAGACAGAUUAUUUGCACAAGUUAUCAUUGCUUAACAGAGUUCAAACAAUAUGGAUGAGUAAGGCAUUUUUCGCAGUGCAAAGUUGACUGUGCCAUCUCUUCAACUUUAGUGUUGUGUCAUUUAAACCACAGUGGGCUGACAGCCAAUGAAAUGACAGAAUUAAAGAAGUUGACAUUA